rnacentral:lncRNA from 1 species
ACCUCAAACGCCUUUCCCACUCCUUGCUCCUUUUGCUGCCUGGUAGAUGUCAUGAUUUAUCUAUUCCUCCGUUCACGUGGUCAGCCAAAAAGUAUGGAUAUUUCUGGGUGCUACACCUGUGCUAAGCACAGGAGGGACAGCAAGCGACAGGACAAGCCCCGACUCCAAUAGAAUUUCGGAAAAGCCAGACACGAAGCAACUCAUGGCAAUAAAGGCAGAGAAUGAGAUCACAGUGGAGAAUGUUGUUGAAAACUGUUGAAAGAAGACCCAGUAAAGUAAGCUUUCAUCCAACUCCUUCCACCUGUUGUCAUCUUGCUUUGAGCCUCUCCAUUGCUCAGUGGAUGUUGACUGAACCAACCAUGGAUAGUGAAUUAUCAUAGCAUUUACUAUUGAAAAAAAUCCCUAUAUAAGUGGACCUGCUGCGUUCAGACCAUGUUGUCCAAGGUUGAAUGGUUCUUGAUCAAACUCCUCCCAACUCAUUUUCCUGUCUGCUGAUGUACUGCCUUUGGUGCAUUUUCUUCACUGACACAGGAGUGAAUUUUGGUCAAAUUGGGUGAGUGCUCUUAACGCUCACAUUGUUCAACGUCAACUGCACUGCGCAUGUAGGAAAGAAGCUGAGGUCCCAAACACUUACUUGCCUUCAUGUAUCCUACCUGAUUAAAAACUGCUGCCUUCUGGAGCUCCUGUCGUGGCGCAGUGGUU